GUGCGCGUCGGGCUGUGGUGGCCGUUGUGUGUCUGUCCUUGGCCCUGUCAGACCUCUGUGCCCAGGAAACAGAAACUGAGCUUUUCUUAAGUAUUUCCCCGGGAUAGCCUGACUCUAUAUUCGGAGAAAACACGGCUGAUGGGAUUUUCCUUUCCCGGUGCAGCCCUUUCCUAGCUGAAUUCAAGCAGAAAAAGAGUGGAGGAGGAGUUAGGCUGAAGAACAUCUUGCUCCCAGGAAAUCAGGGGGAAGAAAUCACCCACUAAUCACCUCUUCACAGACUCAGUUCAGCGUGUCUCUACCGUCACGGUGACUGCGGAGAGGGGAUUCAAUCAGACAGCCAAGGCCUGUGACAGGAAAGCUUGAAGAGAGGCAGAAGGGCUCUCCAUAUACCCCAGGGAGAAGACAGUUGCCUGGCGUGGGCUGGCUGUGCUGUAGAUUGUAUGUGGUGGGGAGGAUUUCUGAAGCGACUUUCAUUUUUCAGGCUGACCUUCACCAGUUGGGAUGAAAGCUGCAAGGCCUUAAUGAUGGCUGGAAGGGUGAGAUGCGUUGCAGGACUCUUACCUGAUUAGAGCAGCCUAAUGAGCUCAAGCAAGUUCAUUUGGGUUUAUCUUCUGACAAUAUCUAGGUAACCCUUUUCAAAUGAGAAGACUUCUUCUAAACCCCAGAAGAAUAUCAGCAGGGCUGCUGUCUACGAAUGACACUGUACUAAAGGCCUCAUUCCAAAAACUUGUUCGUGGUUGGGACUGCCUACGGCUCCUGCUAAUCUUUUGCUCUCACACUCUUUGAGGACUUUCUCUGGACAAAUACAUCGGCAAAAAAGGACGCACAGUUCCGGUGAUGUAGAACACAAUGACGUGUGCAAGCAAUCGUGAGUGGAAGGAGGAAAUAGAGUCCUCAAGAGCCUGUUGUAAUUUCAGAUAAGAACUUGAGUCUUAGAGCCAAACGGAAACCUAAGCAACUUAGAGAUUCAAGUGAACCGUAAAUUUGCUUCAUCUAGGGAAAAAAAAUGUGGAGGAAGUGAAAAAUAAUUAAAGAUUGGUUUUCAGAACCAUGCUCCUUGUAAUUAGUGCAUACUAAUGUAAUUUCAUACUCUAAUAUAAAGUAUAUCUGAUUCUACUUCUAAUUAUGGGUGCUUUCUUCCUAAAGUACAUUCUAUCUUCAUAGCCCUUAACGACCUUGACUUUUUCUUAGAUUUAAGUGUGUCUCUUAGAUUGUAAACUUAUCAAGGGUAAGGGCUGUGCCUUCGUCUUUCACGGUAUGCUCCCAAGCCCUUGCUGCAGUGCUGACACACUCACUAAGUACUGAUGAGGAAGAUGAAAUAUAUAAGUAUAUAUAUUUGUGUAUAUAGCUAUAAUUCUAUUUAUCUAUUCUGAUGGUA